rnacentral:tRNA from 2 species
AGAUAGUUAGUUUAAGAAAAACACUUGAUUUCGGCUCAAGAGCUUGUGGUUAAAGCCCAUAACUGCCUA